rnacentral:rRNA from 1 species
GGUUUGAUGUAGUACAUUGCUGAACCGAUGCUAAUACCGGAUGUGCCGUGAGGUAAAAGGCUUGCUGCCUGAAGAUGACCUCGCGUCUGAUUAGCUAGUUGGUGGUGUAAGGGACUACCAAGGCGACGAUCAGUMGCUGGUCUGAGAUUGGAUGAUCAGCGAGAUCACACUGGAACUGAGACACGGUCCAGAACUCCUACGGGAGGCAGCRUUGGGGAAUUGGUUCCGCAAUGGGCGAAAGCCUGAGCGGAGCAAUACCGCGUGAGGGAGGAAGGCUCUUGGGUUGUAAACCUCUUUUCUCAGGGAAGAAUGAUGACGGUACCUGAGGAAUCAGCAUCGGCUAACUCCGUGCCAGCAGCCGCGGUAAUACGGAGGAUGCAAGCGUUAUCCGGAAUGAUUGGGCGUAAAGCGUCCGCAGGUGGUUGUGUGUGUCUAUUGUCAAAGCGUCACGCUUAACGUGAUAUGGGCAGUAGAAACUACACAACUAGAGUGCGUUCGGGGCAGAGGGAAUUCCUGGUGUAGCGGUGAAAUGCGUAGAGAUCAGGAAGAACACCGGUGGCGAAAGCGCUCUGCUAGGCCGCAACUGACACUGAGGGACGAAAGCUAGGGGAGCGAAUGGGAUUAGAUACCCCAGUAGUCCUAGCCGUAAACGAUGGAUACUAGGCGUUGAGAGUAUCGACCCUCUCAGUGCCGUAGCUAACGCGUUAAGUAUCCCGCCUGGGGAGUACGCACGCAAGUGUGAAACUCAAAGGAAUUGACGGGGGCCCGCACAAGCGGUGGAGUAUGUGGUUUAAUUCGAUGCAAACGCGUAAGAACCUUACCAGGGCUUGACAUGUCUGGAAUCUGCUCGAAAUGGGUGGAGUGCCUUCAGGGAGCCAAGAACACAGGUGGUGCAUGGCUGUCGUCAGCUCGUGUCGUGAGAAUGUUGGGUUAAGUCCCGCAACGAGCGCAACCCUCGUACUUAGUUGCCAGGCACUUCGGGUGGGCACUCUAGGGAGACUGCCGGUGACAAACCGGAGGAAGGUGGGGAUGACGUCAAGUCAGCAUGCCCCUUACGUCCUGGGCUACACACGUACUACAAUGCUACGGACAAAGGGCAGCGAGCGUGCGAACGCAAGCAAAUCUCGCAAACCGUGGCCGAUCAGUCUCAGAUCGCAGGCUGCAAAACUCGCCUUUGCGUGAAGGUGGAAUCGCUAGUAAUUGCAGGUCAGCAUACUGCAGUGAAUUCGUUCCCGGGCCUUGUACACACCGCCCGUCACACCAUGGAAGCUGGUCACGCCCGAAGUCGUUACCCUAACCAUGCAGGAAGGCAAACCCCC